UUAAGUUCAGCGGGUAGUCCUACCUGAUUUGAGAUCAAACAUUCGAAGCUGUCCUCGCCAAGGAGAGACAUUUGUGAGCCUCAGCGAACCUCCAUUGCUGAAAGUUACCUGGUGGAAAACCACAAGCGUAGAUAGUUAUCACACCUGCGAUGCCACCAAACACUGGCAAGCUGAUUCAUUUGAGAGGAGCCGACCGUAGG
rnacentral:misc_RNA from 1 species